UACGUAGGUGACAAGCGUUGUCGGAUUUACUGGGCGUAAAGAGGGCGCAGGGGGGCGAUCCAGUUGAGUGUGAAAGCCCCCGGCUCAACUGGGGAGGGUCAUUCGAAACUGGUCGACUCGAAGGCAGGAGAGGGUAGUGGAAUCCCCGGUGUAGUGGUGAAAUGCGUAGAUAUCGGGAGGAACACCAGUGGCGAAGGCGACUACCUGGCCUGUUCUUGACGCUGAGGCGCGAAAGCUAGGGGAGCAAACGGG
rnacentral:rRNA from 1 species